rnacentral:ncRNA from 1 species
UGUAUGGGGAGCUCACGACAGACCGUCUAUGGGCUGAGAGGAAGGUGAAACCUUCGACCCUUCGACCUGAUUUGGGUAAUGCCAACGUAGGGAGCGCGA